rnacentral:misc_RNA from 1 species
UGGCUCUCGCAUCGAUGAAGAACGCGGCGAAAUGCGAUAAGUAAUGUGAAUUGCAGAUUUCAGUGAAUCAUCGAAUCUUUGAACGCACCUUGCGCUCCUAGGUCUUCCGAGGAGCAUGCCUGUUUGAGUGCCCAGAAUCAAUCUCAACAAACACAUUCGUGUGCAAGUUGGACUUGGAGGUUUGCCGUUGACUUGUUCACGGCUCCUCCUAAAUAUAUUAGCUGCUUGGUAAUGAUACCGUUGGCUUGAUAUUAUGUCUAUGCUGCGGUUGAAUUAAUCCAGUGCUUCUAAUCGUCUUCGGACACUAUUCUGACCUCGGGCCUCAAAUCAGGUAGGAUUACCCGCUGA